rnacentral:rRNA from 1 species
GCGUUUUGUGACUAAAACCUAAACAGAGACUAAAUGGCCGCGGUAACUCUGACCGUGAUAAUGUAGCGAAAUCAAUCGUCGUUUAAUUGACGACCCGUAUGAAAGGUUAAACGAAUCUCCCCCUGUCUCGAAAAUAAACCUCAUCGAAAUUGUAUGAGCAGUGAAGAUACUGCUAUCANAUUGCUAGACGAAAAGACCCUAUAGAGCUUAACUAUAUUCUCGAUCCACAACUUACCCUAUGAAGAUAGGAGUGCAUCGAGAGUGGUAGUUUGGUUGGGGCGACCUUCUUCUAUAACAAACGAAGAUAGACAAAGGCACAUCGAUUUUAAAU